CGGCGCCUGCGCGGUGGGCGUGAUCCGGGCACUUAGGGCAGGAUGAACGCUGCUUUCCAAGAUGGCGACGGAGGGAGGAGGGAAGGAGAUGAACGAGAUUAAGACCCAAUUCACCACCCGGGAAGGUCUGUACAAGCUGCUGCCGCACUCGGAGUACAGCCGGCCCAACCGGGUGCCCUUCAGCUCGCAGGGAUCCAACCCUGUCCGCGUCUCCUUCGUAAACCUCAACGACCAGUCUGGCAACGGCGACCGCCUCUGCUUCAAUGUGGGCCGGGAGCUCUACUUCUAUAUCUACAAGGGGGUCCGCAAGGCUGCUGACUUGAGUAAACCAAUAGAUAAAAGGAUAUACAAAGGAACACAGCCUACUUGUCAUGACUUCAACCACCUCACAGCCACAGCAGAAAGUGUCUCUCUCCUAGUGGGCUUUUCCGCAGGCCAAGUCCAGCUUAUAGACCCAAUCAAAAAAGAAACUAGCAAACUAUUUAAUGAGGAAAGACUAAUAGACAAGUCGCGAGUAACCUGUGUCAGAUGGGUUCCUGGUUCGGAAAGCCUGUUCCUAGUAGCCCAUUCGAGCGGGAACAUGUACUUGUAUAAUGUGGAGCACGCUUGUGGCACCACAGCCCCCCACUACCAGCUUCUGAAGCAGGGAGAGAGCUUUGCCGUGCACACUUGCAAGAGCAAAUCCACGAGGAACCCUCUCCUUAAGUGGACGGUGGGCGAGGGGGCCCUCAACGAGUUUGCUUUCUCCCCAGAUGGCAAGUUCUUGGCGUGCGUGAGCCAGGACGGCUUCCUGCGGGUGUUCAACUUUGACUCGGUGGAGCUGCACGGCACCAUGAAAAGCUACUUUGGAGGCUUGCUGUGCGUGUGCUGGAGCCCCGACGGCAAGUACAUUGUGACGGGCGGCGAGGACGACCUGGUGACGGUCUGGUCUUUUGGAGACCGCCGGGUGAUAGCGCGGGGCCACGGGCACAAGUCCUGGGUCAGCGUGGUGGCCUUCGACCCCUACACCACCAGCGUGGAGGAGAGCGACCCUCUGGAGCUGAGUGGCAGCGACGAGGACUUCCAAGACCUUCUGCACUUCGGCCGAGACCGCGCCAACAGCACCCAGUCCCGGCUGUCCAAGCGGAACUCGACCGAGAGCCGCCCCGUCAGCGUCACCUACCGCUUCGGCUCCGUGGGCCAGGACACGCAGCUCUGCCUCUGGGACCUCACGGAGGACAUCCUCUUCCCCCACCAGCCCCUCUCGAGAGCGAGGACACACACCAACGUCAUGAACGCCACGAGCCCCCCCGUCGGCAGCGCCGGGAACAGUGUCUCGACGCCGGGCAACGCGGCGCCGCCGCCCCUGCCGCGGUCCAACAGCCUCCCGCACUCGGCCGUGUCCGGCGCGGGCAGCAAGAGCAGCGUCGCCGACGGGGCCGUGGCGUCCGGGGUCAGCAAGUUCGCCACGCUCUCCCUGCACGAGCGCAAGGACAGGCACCACGAGAAAGACCACAAGCGAAACCACAGCAUGGGACACAUCUCUAGCAAGAGCAGCGACAAACUGAACCUGGUCACGAAAGCCAGAACGGACCCAGCUAAAACUCUGGGCACGGCCCUGUGCCCUCGGAUGGAAGACGUUCCCUUGUUAGAGCCGCUCAUCUGUAAAAAGAUAGCCCACGAAAGACUGACGGUAUUGAUUUUUCUUGAAGACUGUAUAGUCACUGCUUGUCAGGAGGGAUUUAUUUGCACAUGGGGAAGGCCUGGUAAAGUGGUAAGUUUUAACCCUUAAUGCUGCACCAGAUCUAGAACUUGAAUAGGUAGUGAUUUUUUUCUUGCGGGAGGGGCGGGGUGUACAAUGACUGUGAAUGACACUUCUUCUUAAUGUAAAUCUCAAUGCAUCAGAGCCAUAAUUUUGGAUACUGCAUGCCAUGUAAUUCCGAAUCAUUUGAUAAUUCACCUUAGAACGUUUAAAAAAUAUAAUCAAACUAAUUGCCAGCCAAGUCAGUCACCCUCCUGGGAGUAUAUAGCGUCCCCAGGCUAGCGUUCCUGUAUUAGACGAUUUCGAUUUUAGGAAAAUCAUGACAGUGUGGGGAAACAGUGACUUUAAAAAUGCUAAAAUUAAAAUUUCUGCUUCAACUGGAAUAUUUUUGCUCAAGCACUCAAUUAGAAUAUUGUACACCUGAUCAGAGCGUGUGUUCACUACGGGCGGCCAUUAACUGUCAUUUAUAAGAAGUCCCCUUUUUUAUCUUAAUCAUAAAAUGUGUAGGAAUCUAUGAAAUUUAACUUUAGGAACAAAGCGUUCAGCAGGGUUGAUUGAUAUUAUUUUUACAUUGUCUGGCAAUCCACAGAAAGAGAAGAGCCUUAAUUUUUAAAACCCAUUUUAGUCAUUUUAUGACAAUUAAAAUUGUUUAAUAAACAUCUUUUUUCAAAGAAGCAGUUUGUAGCACUUUGAUUGAGAUUCUGUGCACUAAAUAAAAUAUCCACGAGCCUGGCCAGUUACCAUGAACUGCGGGCUGAGGGCGCCAGCAGCGUUGGCAGAAGUGCCUCUUGACACAUAAGCCAAGAUCUUUUAUGUCGAAUGCAAUUUGCUUAUGUUUUCUCCAGCAAGGGGAAGGAGGUUCUGUUUUCUUUUGGGUUCGGGGGGAGGGACUCUUGUGAGUUUUUGUGGUUUUUUGGUCAAAAGGCACAUGACCGGAGGCCCUUCAGACUCCUCGGCUUUGUGGUGUGAAGACUCCUAGGCCCCCAGGGUGCAGAGAACUUGCAGCUUUUCCCUGGUUUGGGUUUUGUGUUCCCGCCGGAGGGGAAGGGCCGGUGCAGGUUGCUCCUUUUCUUGUGGUCAGGUUAGUCGUGGUUCACGAGCUGUGAUCAUUCCCGGGAUGCCCCGGGCCUCUGGGUCGGGGGCUCCCACCCCAAGCGCCUCCCCUGCCUGGGGUCUGUGGCUGCUGGUGCCAGGGCCGCCCUCUGCUCAGACUGGCUGCUUCCGGAGGCUUCCGCCUCCAGGGGAAACUGCUGUGUUUGACUGAGUCCUCAAGAUCCCUCCUAGCUGUGGGCGGGGUUUUCUUUCCGAUUCCAGUUGAGACGAUGGAUGAGAUGGCGCUUUGAGCUGUGUGUUUUAAGUCAGGAUGAUGCGGAUCUUAUUAUUUUGGUCACUUCGGUUUGUUUUUCUGUUGCACCCGCCUUGGCGAUUAAACAUAGCCAGCCUGAUCACUUACCUUGGUGUGAGUCGUAAACGCAGUUCAGCCAAGUGCCGGCCUGGAGACCCUGGCUUCUCUGCAGGGUGAGGGUGGCUGAUGGAGCAGAAGCGCUGUGCUCCUCCAGCAGCCAGAGCGCGCCCACCCACCGCCCCCCUCCCCGGGGAAGGCCGGGCCAGCUCCCCCCGCCAUGCCCCGCUGCACACGUGUCCACCUGCCCGUGACGCAGGUGGCCUCUGUUACCUGUGGCAGCAGUGGCAGUGUCCUUCCAGCUGCAUGUCCCCCUGGGUACGCGUCACGGUCCGUGGGACUGUUGGCGUCCUGUAACCUGGAAGGUAUGGUCCUUUGUUCCUAAACGUUAACCACCCUAGGGUGGCAAAGCCAGCCAUCCCUGUGGGCUCUUUGAACUGCGAAGGCUAAUAAAUUGGCUGUCAGAUGCAGAGGUUAGGGACCGACACGCCACGUGCAGCCGUAUGUACCCACAUAGUUUCAGAAAUUCCGUUUCAAAUGCUUCUGAGGCAUUGAGUAUGCAGUUUCAAAAUUCAGGACUUUGUAUUUGGCCUAAGCGGAAGUGGCGAUCGGAUCCCAGGUAAGUAGCCUUUGGAGGAGAGCCUGUCAAGCAUGACCUUUCAGCUCAUCACACUGCUGGCAGAAGAGCCUUGCGUGUGGCCCGCGGAACUGGCGCUUGGGCGACUGGGCUCUUUCUGGUUCCUUCUGGCCGUCAGUGUCUGCUGGGGAGACUAACCUGGGGGGGUCUGGGGGUGGGAGCAGGGUAGGAGAGGCGAGAGGGGGAUGGUAUCGUGUCCUUAAGAAAGAAGCUCGAGGAGUUGCCCUUGUGGCUCAGCAGAAGUGAAUCUGACAAGGAUCCAUGAGGACACAGGUUCAAUCCCUGGCCUCGCUCAGUGGGUUAAGGAUCCGGCGUUGCUGUGAGCUGUGGUCACAGUGUGGCUCGAAUCCUGCGUUGCUGUGGCUGUGCUGUAGGCCGGCAGCUACAGCUCCGAUUCGAUCCCUAGCCUGGGACUCUCCAUAUGCCGUGGAUGCGGCCCUAAAAAGACAAAAAGACCAAAAAAAAAAAAAAAAAACAGCUCUGAAAUGUGUUGACCAAAGUCGGCGUCCAUCUUCGCCGCCGCCCCCACCUUCAGCUUUCCAGUCCGUGGUCCCCGCACAGUUUGGGAUUUGGGCCUUGGUCGCAGUCUCGCUCUUCCAGUUUCCACUGGGGCGUGUAUCCUUGGCAUCUGUCUGGGGCCCCCGUGCCGGGCGUCGGGUGCUGGGGUGGGGCUGGCUUGGCCCAGGCUGCUCGGCCCCCCUCUCCGGGCAGCCAGCGCAGCCUCCAGCGGUCGUCAGGAGGGCCGGCGGAGGGCCGGGCGUCCUCCCAGACCAGGCCCGAAGGGCCCUGGGGAGGGAGGGGCCCUCGAUGGCUUCUGCGUGGCGGCGCCCGCAGACGAGGGGCCGGCGGCCUCCCCUCCGGGCCGGCAGGCGCCGUGGCUGCUGCGGGUCGUCUGGGGGCGAUGGGGAGUUUCGCACAGAACUUCGAGCUUUCUCUUUGAAAUGUUUCCGUUUUUCAGCUUAAACAUUAUUUCGAGCAAGAACAUCUUUUCUAAGCUAACCUCCGGAAUAAAACGCCUUUGGGCAAGAAGAGGCUGUUCCUGCCGGGGCAGCGCGACUCUGCGGCGCCCCGGACGCAGCGCUGGCGGCGGCGCAGGUGACAGCCGCGGCCGGCGGCCCUGCCCUCCUCGGGCUCCUCGCCGGCCUCCAGGGCGUGCCAGGCGCUGGGGCGGGGGGGGGGGGGCACCCGGCCCGGCCCCCGGCCGAGCGUCUCCCCCGGGAGGCUGGAGAAGGAACCUUCGGGAACAGCGCCUUCUUCUCGGAGCGCGCGCGCCCGCGGCAGGGGGUCGGCUCCAGGACCCCUGUGCUGGCCGCUGAGAGAGACGGUGGGGAGAGAGGAGUCCAGGGCUGACCUGGAAGAGCGCUUGUACCUGUUGUUCCCUUUGAAAGUCAGAGCCAAGUUCACGCCUCUGUGUAACAGCCCCUCCGGGAGAGGGACGCUGCCCCACUGGUACUGACUUCUUAGUCCUUGCUGCAUCUGUUCCAUGAAUCUUGUCACGGUUCCAUCGCUGUCUCUCAGUUUUAAAAUGUAAAAGCGAAUUUUUUUUCUGCAUUUUUAAUUUCUGUACACCUAAGUUUAUUAAAGGUUACUCUGUUAGGUGACACUGUAUAAAACUGUGUAUCUCCCUUUAGUGAAAACCAAAAUUCAUGUAUAUUUUCUUUUCUACAUUUUCAUCUAAUUUCUUGAAAACUUGAAUAAAUUUCAUUAAGAGCCUUCCUCACAGGAAAUGUUGGUAAAUUAAGUUUGUAACUGUUGCAAUAAUUAAUGAAGCUUUAAUAUCAGUAUUGUUGCUUUAUAAUUUUAAGAAAAUCAUGUUUGUUUCACUGCCUUGGUUUUUAGCUGUUCCCUUGUCACUGUCACAGCUAGAGACUUCGUACAUACUUGAUAUUCUGAAGAACUGAGGUUGUCCUCUGUAUAACGACCUUAAAUAAACGUCUGAACGAACUGUAAA